CGGAAACUCGUUUAAAGUUCGGAAAUAUAAUGAUAACAUAUUAUAAUAUCACGGGUAACAGGUAAAAUGAGAUAUUGAUGUCAUUUUAAAACCUUUCAGUUCGUAGUUAGUAGUCAAAUAUUACUACAUUAUUAUUUAAACUCUAAACACCGUCCAUUUGCCAGAUAUGUGGGAUGAAAAUCUGACUGAAAUGUCAUCAUCGUAAACGCGUAUCAGAAAAUAGAAAUACAUCUGUUGUGGUAUAUAUAGUGAUAUAUAACAAUAUAGUGAUUUUUAAAUCGUCAACGUCAAAACAAUCUACGCACUAUUAUGUAAAAUUAAUUAAUAUUAUUACAGUUUUACGCGUAUCCC